GAUGAAGAACGUAGCGAAAUGCGAUACGUAGUGUGAAUUGCAGAAUCCAGUGAAUCAUCGAAUCUUUGAACGCACAUUGCGCCCCUUGGUAUUCCAUGGGGCAUGCCUGUUCGAGCGUCAUUUGUACCUUCAAGCUCUGCUUGGUGUUGGGUGUUUGUCUCGCCUCUGCGUGUAGACUCGCCUCAAAACAAUUGGCAGUCGGCGUAUUGAUUUCGGAGCGCAGUACAUCUCGCGCUUUGCACCCAUAACGACGACGUCCAAAAGUACAUUUUUACACUCUUGACCUCGGAUCAGGUAGGGAUACCCGCUGAACUUAAGCAUAUCAAUAAGCGGAGGA
rnacentral:misc_RNA from 1 species